UAUAUAUAUAUAUAUAUAUAUAUAGUGCACUACUUUUGGCCAGGACCAGUAGGGAAUAGGGUGCCAUUUGGAAUGUAGAUCUAGUGAUCGAGGGGUACAGAUGAGGAUGUAAUAUGUCUAGUUAUGCCCUUUCAGUCCUAUUCUGUGAUAAAUUUUUUUGGUCCCCAGUUUGAGACAUUGCUUCAGAUUUCGUUCGCUUGACGUUCCCGACAGAGAGAAUAUAGAUGGAUCAACUAAACAACACGCGUCCUCAAGUAAGCACAGAAAUAUAAAUAGAACCAUCUUUACCAGUCAAAUUGCCAGGGUUAGAGGUUCCAAGCCCAUUCUAUAGAUUCUAUUUCUAUUCAAGCAGCGGGUCAGGAUCUACAAUAAGGAGAUAUACCUCUGAUGUAUGUAGGGAUAUGUAUAUUGGGAUAAUAAUGAUAAUCAGUAUGUUUUAUAUAUGAUAUUGCUUUGCCCUCAACUGACUUAUUUCACGCGUCAUUCUAUAAAGAAACUAUACUGUAAAAUGGAAACUCUUACCAUAGUUUCAGUGUUUGAAAUCUGUCUGCAACACCACGUGUACAUGGCUGGCUAAGAUGUAAAAGUGGGGAUUGUGAAUUUAUAAAAAGCUACAUUUGAGAAUUGCA